GUGGGGAAUUUUGGACAAUGGGCGCAAGCCUGAUCCAGCAAUGCCGCGUGCAGGAAGAAGGCCUUCGGGUUGUAAACUGCUUUUGUACGGAACGAAACGGUCCGGGUUAAUACCCUGGGCUAAUGACGGUACCGUAAGAAUAAGCACCGGCUAACUACGUGCCAGCAGCCGCGGUAAUACGUAGGGUGCAAGCGUUAAUCGGAAUUACUGGGCGUAAAGCGUGCGCAGGCGGUUUUGUAAGACAGGCGUGAAAUCCCCGGGCUCAACCUGGGAAUUGCGCUUGUGACUGCAAGGCUGGAGUGCGGCAGAGGGGGAUGGAAUUCCGCGUGUAGCAGUGAAAUGCGUAGAUAUGCGGAGGAACACCGAUGGCGAAGGCAAUCCCCUGGGCCUGCACUGACGCUGAGGUACGAAAGCAUGGGGAGCAAACAGGAUUAGAUACCCGGGUAGUCC
rnacentral:rRNA from 1 species